rnacentral:rRNA from 1 species
UACGGAGGGGGCUAGCGUUGUUCGGAAUUACUGGGCGUAAAGGGCGCGUAGGCGGCAGGCUAAGUCAGGCGUGAAAGACCCGGGCUCAACCUGGGAACGGCGCUUGGGACUGGCUUGCUUGAGACCGGGAGGGGAUGGCGGAAUUCCCAGUGUAGAGGUGAAAUUCGUAGAUAUUGGGAAGAACACCGGUGGCGAAGGCGGCCAUCUGGACCGGGUCUGAGGCUGAGGCGCGAAAGCGUGGGGAGCAAACAGG